rnacentral:rRNA from 1 species
AUUCCAGCUCCAAUAGCGUAUAUUAAAGUUGUUGCAGUUAAAACGCUCGUAGUUGAAGCUCUGCUAGUGGAAAUGAGUUGACUCUUAGAGAUCAUAUUUGUUUCAACUGGCAUAAAUCCGCUGAAUCUGAAGGGUUUCACCCGGAUGAUGCUCGGAGCUGUUACUUUGAGAAAAUUAGAGUGUUUCAAGCAGGCGUAACGCCUUGAAUACUCCAGCAUGGAAUAACAAGUAAGGACUCAUGUUCUUCUUGUUGGUUUACGAAUUUGAGUAAUGAUUAAGAGGAACAGUUGGGGGUAUUCGUACUCGGUCGUCAGAGGUGAAAUUCUUAGAUUGACCGAAGACGAGCUACUGCGAAGGCAUCUACCAUGGAUGUUUUCAUUG